AAUGAAAUCAUAGUCAUAAAACUGGCAGUUUGUGUAAAACAAAGGAUAAAAUUCCUUUAUUUUGGGUUUAUAUUCAGACAUUUUUUGAUGGUUAAAACAACUUGUGAUGGUAUUGAUUUUAAUAAGGACUACUGUCUAAAAAUAAAACCAUUUCUCAUGUUUUUCACACACUACUUUCUGCUGGUGUUUACCGUUAUUAGGUACUAUUUGGUUACAAAAGCGAGGAAAAAUUAAAAAAUGUUAAAAUGGAUAAACUGGAGAAGGUUUGGCAAAUGAGGUAGGUCCUUACUAGUUAUCAAGUGUUAACCAUUAUGCUUAGAAUAAAACAUGUCACAAAUGCUACCCAACAAGACAGCAAAGCACAUGUUGUAGCCUACAGGUCAACCCUGCUACUCUUGUCCAAGACAACAGUCGCGUGAUACCCGUGCAGCACAUAAAUUGCGCUGUUGCUACGGCAACCCUGUCCGUAGGGGGCCCAUUCCCAGAGAUCCAAAUAAGCCUCCAAAUCACGCUCCCCUCUAGCUGCGCUCAGCUAUCGCGAGAAUCCUUUAAGCAAAGCUUCAGCUUGAAGUGACCUCAUCAGCAGCUGCAGCGCGAGGCGGAGCUGCAACUUUGUAUGAACUUCGAAGUUGAAUAAUUGUAAACGAGACGCUGGGGCCAACGGUACUGUUGCUGGAGUAGAUACAACAAUACACUGAACAUUCUCCCGCGACACACGGGAAAACGGCAGGAAUAACGGCCGCACGUAGACUGCACUCAGCUGGCAAACACUACGAGGCGGAGAGACGCUCGUGUCGGACUUUUAUCGGAAGAUUUUGUGGGAGAAGAGACCGCACGAGUGCAGCGAGAGCUGGAGAGGGAAGAAGGAAGUCUGCUAUGCUGUUUUAAAAAGGUGUGAGCAGAGGGUCAUGGGCGAGGCUGGUCAUGUGGAAUGAGUGAGAGGGAUCUGGACUCAAUAGAGACCUCCAGGUUGAUCCUGUUUUACUCUCAGAAACUUCCUCCGUUUCCCCGCCUGGGAGAACGAAGUCGGACAGAUCCUGUCAAAAGCCUUCAGGUCGGAGAGAAGUCGUUGCUGUCCGACCCAAGCACAAAGAGGCUUUUAUUAUCUACACCUCCAAACCUGAAUCUUCACACCAGCAGCAUUAGGAUUUGUUUGCAGAAGAUGCAUUCAAAAACAGCCAAGACUGAGCACAUUGAAAUGGAGUUCAGGGGUCUAGAAGCACUUUUGUUAUAAAGUCAAAAUGUUUCUGAACACCCUGUGAAAGUGUUCAACAGUGGCUAAGUAGUUAAGUAGAUGUGAGAAAGAAUAUUCAAUACAGAAACAGAUGUAAAAAAAAAAAAAAAAGUAGUUGAAUUGUGCUUUGAAAGCUCUAGAAGGGAAUGCAAGAGCGCAUCCCGUGUGAAUGGACCCCUUACAGCUUCAGGUGUCACUGUGAGUCAGAGGAGAGAAAUGUCCCAGCAGCUCCCAUGCUGUUAUAAUCGCAGCUCCCAGCCACUUUCUCCUCACCAGUUUUGGGACUGUGAAGCUCAGCAGAUUUGAGAAAUGUACUUAGAAUGGCUCUGUAGUUAGAUUUCCCUAUCAUAAGGCACUUAAAUGAGGUUAACAUUUGGAUAAAAAUAAUAAAAUUACAACGUGUUCAAGUUUUGUCCUUAUAAGUGACUGUUGCUUAGUUGACUGCUGGUUCAGUUUUCAGCUUUACAUUUUAUUCCAUUUUUUUUCUUGCCAUUCUUCCCCAUUUCUUCCUGUUCUGGAAAGGGGAAAAGAGAACUUCCUUUGCUGUAUGUAUGAAUGAUACGAGCCGCUCUGGCCACCAUAUACUCCAAGAAGAGGAAAAUUGUGCUAUUGGCCAAUGGCUACGGCCCAGGAAGCUUAAAGACCUGUCCAGAGCUUAGACUGGAACAGCACAAUGAGAUUCAUUCACAGAGUUAGAAGAGGGAUGAGAACUGUCUUCACACCAUUCCUGUCUGCUCCACAGUCUCUGGUGGAUUCUACAGACCUGCCAUUUACCUGAGUUUGUGCUUACAUUUGUAGAUUCUAAUUUAAAAUAUUUGCUUAUGCAAAUCUGAGUUGCAUGAAAAUGAGAAUAUUUGGAAAUGCUGACAUUUUCUGGAUUUUGUAAGUCAUUCAUUGUCUAUAUUCUGAUUUUUGGGAGAUUGUUUCCAGCAGCUAGAGGUGAACUUUAGUAACUUUUCAGCUACUUAAGGUCUUAUUAUGAGGAUUUCUCAGAGAGCUGGUAUUUCUUAGGAGUGCUGUUCUGAUCUUUAUCACUUGCCUUCUCAAGCUGCUUUUACGUUAUUUUCUUGGUGCGCUGUUAAAUGGUUCUUUUAAAUGUAAUAAUUUUCUGAUUCAAGUCUUUAAUAUGUUGUGCAAAAUGCAAA
rnacentral:lncRNA from 12 species